rfam:Toxocara canis scaffold241, whole genome shotgun sequence.
GUAGUAGCUCAGUAAUAGAGCUCCCGCUUCGUGUGCGGGAAGAGCUGGAUUCGAUUCCCGGCUGC